rnacentral:rRNA from 1 species
AACGAACGCUGGCGGCAUGCUUUACACAUGCAAGUCGAACGGUAACAGGCCGCAAGGUGCUGACGAGUGGCGAACGGGUGAGUAAUGCAUCGGAACGUGCCCAGUCGUGGGGGAUAACUGCUCGAAAGAGCAGCUAAUACCGCAUACGAUCUAUGGAUGAAAGCGGGGGACCGUAAGGCCUCGCGCGAUUGGAGCGGCCGAUGUCAGAUUAGGUAGUUGGUGGGGUAAAGGCUCACCAAGCCAACGAUCUGUAGCUGGUCUGAGAGGACGACCAGCCACACUGGGACUGAGACACGGCCCAGACUCCUACGGGAGGCAGCAGUGGGGAAUUUUGGACAAUGGGGGCAACCCUGAUCCAGCAAUGCCGCGUGCAGGAAGAAGGCCUUCGGGUUGUAAACUGCUUUUGUACGGAACGAAACGGUCUGGGUUAAUACCCUGGGCUAAUGACGGUACCGUAAGAAUAAGCACCGGCUAACUACGUGCCAGCCGCCGCCGUAACAC